GGUGUUGGGGACGGAGCCGUGGAUACACCCAUACUCAACAGGCAGAGGGAAUAGAUAUUCGACGGGGGACCGGGGUGUCAACAGAUGUAUCCGAGUUCAUGCGUGGCAGGGAGCUGGCGGCGGGACCCGUCCCUCCAGCUGGCUCUCCAACCCCAAGCCUGCAUUACGACCACGGCAAAAUGCCAGAAGCCCAGAGAAGCGGGGUUUCUGAAGCGGAUCGUUUGUUCAGCCCGAGUGCGUGGGGCAGGAACACACCUGGAGGUCAUUAAAGAGAAGUCUUCACGGGGCACUCAAGGCACACUGCAAAACAACUUUUUAUUUAAAAGGCCAAUAAUGAGAAUAAUGAGUUGCACAAGAAUGAAAACCUUAUCCCUUCCAAAAGAUCGGCCUAUACAUUAUGUAUAAAGUUAGAAUAAUUCUAAAUACAAAAUGCCAAAGACCAGCGGGUCCACUCCUUCCUCUCCUAAGCCAUCUUGACAGUUUCACAUUUCAGCUUCCAGACGUCAUUUCUGUUGCUUUUAAGGGUGCUUACCCAGCCGUGGUCUGUACCAGACAGGGUAGUUGGCACAGCGUAGGCACUGCCAGCAGGCCCUUGGGAGCUUGGCGAGGUGGGAGCCUUGAGAAAUAGCUGGCUCGGACCCAUGGCGGGGUUUGUGUGUCAACUCCCUGGUCCUCAGAGAAUCCGAGCCACGGGAGAGCAAACGCUGCUUCCAAAACCAAAGGAGGAAUUUUGCAAUCGUUUAGACGGGUUAUAAUAGAAUCUCAUUCAGAUCUUGAAGGUUAUCGGUGCUUUCUGCAGGUUUUUAUUCCUCAAAAAUGCAGCCAAGCUUUGCUGUGCUUAUCUUGGUGGAUCUGAGCUAGGUUGGGCUAUCUUUUCCUAAUUCAAUUGCCUUUUUUUUGCAAGGAAGGGGGUUUCUGGUCCAUCGGAGGGAUCAAGGGCAUGGUCCUCACGUCUCGUCAGGAGACAAAAAUAGACAUUCAGCAGACAGACCACAGCCAGCGCAUGCGACCAGCGUCGUUUGGCUAUUUUAGUCUCUUCUUAAUACACAGACAAACGAGCAAAGAAAAAGCUACUUUGUCCAACACCGGGCCCUGGGUUGGAGUUUAGCCCUGCUUGGCUCUGCCCGCUAGUCUCAGUCAGGUCACUCACCCCAGGCCUGCGGGAACGGUGGUCUUGGUGGUCUUCUCUGGCCCUUCCACCUCUUCUGCCUUGUGGGGACCACCCAAGCCCUCUCCCGACUUGCCCAGAGGCUGCACGCCUCUCUGGCAUCACAGUCCGCACGGAGCCUGGCUGUAAGGCUCCACUGAAAUCCCCCCGGCGCUGGCUUCGUGCCCCAGGCACACCCACCUCACUUCUGCCUCUUUUCUGCUGGUUUCUGGCCUGUUUGGUCCCAGCCCCUCCCUGCACUCUCUCCGCAGCUGUCUGGUGGGUGAUGUGAACCAAGGGACACCCAGGGUCAUGGCACUGCCUGGAUUCAGUUUGGUAAUCGUCGGCAGUCUGUCCCUGGCUUCUGAGCCUGGGGCCUCCUCCUCUUUCUCCCCAUCCUGGAUGAGCAGGACACGCUGGGGAGACAGCGUCCUACAAAGGCCUCCUAAGAGCUGUGCCCUGUGCCAGGAAAGCCUCCUGUAUCUCCAAGGAUGUCCCUGGAGCCCUCCAGCUGGUGCCUCUGCUGAGGUCUGUGAGCAGCGGGAAUAGGCCUCUAGGGGAGGAGUUGGGGACAGGCCUCUAGGGGAGAGCACACCUCCGGGUACUGCACCUGUGGCUCACCAGCCACCUGCACGGGGCCAGCUUCAGCCUCAGCAGUGUCAGCUCAACAGACGUGACUGCUGUCAAC
rnacentral:lncRNA from 1 species